rnacentral:rRNA from 1 species
UACGUAGGGGGCGAGCGUUGUCCGGAAUCAUUGGGCGUAAAGCGCGUGUAGGCGGUCCGGUAAGUCCGCUGUGAAAGUCGGGGGCUCAACCCUCGGAUGCCGGUGGAUACUGUCGAGCUAGAGUCCGGAAGAGGCGAGUGGAAUUCCUGGUGUAGCGGUGAAAUGCGCAGAUAUCAGGAGGAACACCAAUGGCGAAGGCAGCUCGCUGGGACGGUACUGACGCUGAGACGCGAAAGCGUGGGGAGCAAACAGG